UACGAAGGGGGCUAGCGUUGCUCGGAACCACUGGGCGUAAAGGGUGCGUAGGCGGGUCUUUAAGUCAGGGGUGAAAUCCUGGAGCUCAACUCCAGAACUGCCUUUGAUACUGAAGAUCUUGAGUUCGGGAGAGGUGAGUGGAACUGCGAGUGUAGAGGUGAAAUUCGUAGAUAUUCGCAAGAACACCAGUGGCGAAGGCGGCUCACUGGCCCGAUACUGACGCUGAGGCACGAAAGCGUGGGGAGCAAACAGG
rnacentral:rRNA from 1 species